UACGUAGGUGGCAAGCGUUACUCGGAAUUACUAGGCGUAAAGCGCAGGUAGGUGGUUGGGUAAGUCUGUAAUGAAAUCUCCCGGCUUAACUGGGAGGGGUUUAUAGAAACUGCCCGACUCGAGUGUGGGAGAGGUAACUGGAAUUCCUGGUGUAGCGGUGAAAUGCGUAGAUAUCAGGAGGAACACCCAUGGCGAAAGCAGGUUACUGGCCCAAUACUGACGCUGAGCUGCGAAAGCUAGGGGAGCAAACAGG
rnacentral:rRNA from 1 species